AGUAAAGAGGCGUAUCAGUACCUCCACAGCGGAAAAGUUGGCAAGGUGUUAAUCAGUAACAACAUCAACGAUCUGAUAUUCCUGAAAGCUGAUGUCAACCCAAGCCAAAGCAAAUCCGACGCUCAUUCGGCAUGGAUCCUGACCACAUCAACCGGCACUGUUGAGACGGCCGGGUGCACCUGUGUUGCGGGUUUGGGGAAAUCCUGCAGUCAUGCUGCAGCGAUUUUAUGGAAGGUGCAGUAUGCUGUAUCGAAAGGUCUCACUGGAUGGUCCUGCACAGAUGAGCAGCGGCACUGGAAUUCAGGCACACAGCGCAAUUUAGUCCCUAAAAGUUU